rnacentral:lncRNA from 1 species
UGUUAACUAAGUUCUUGAUGAUCAUGGUUCAAAUUUGAUCCAAUUAUAUCAUUGGGUCGGGAAACUAACAAAAAAUCUAAUUCAAAACAAUAAGGGAAACAAGACAAUAUUUUUGGAUUUUUUUAAAUUUUCCGAUUUUUUUUUUUUUUUUUUUUUUUUUUUUUUUUUUUUUUAAGAAAACAAAAACUAACAACACAGAAACAAAAUGAAAUUCUAGAGAUUUCUACCCCCACACUUAAACUUGACAUUGUCCCCAAUGUCAGAAAACACUAUAAU